rnacentral:rRNA from 1 species
GACGAACGCUGGCGGCGUGCUUAACACAUGCAAGUCGAACGGAAAGGCCCUGCUUUUGUGGGGUGCUCGAGUGGCGAACGGGUGAGUAACACGUGAGUAACCUGCCCUUGACUUUGGGAUAACUUCAGGAAACUGGGGCUAAUACCGGAUAGGAGCUCCUGCUGCAUGGUGGGGGUUGGAAAGUUUCGGCGGGUGGGGAUGGACUCGCGGCUUAUCAGCUUGUUGGUGGGGUAGUGGCUUACCAAGGCUUUGACGGGUAGCCGGCCUGAGAGGGUGACCGGCCACAUUGGGACUGAGAUACGGCCCAGACUCCUACGGGAGGCAGCAGUGGGGAAUAUUGCACAAUGGGCGGAAGCUUGAUGCAGCAACGCCGCGUGCGGGAUGACGGCCUUCGGGUUGUAAACCGCUUUCGCCUGUGACGAAGCGUGAGUGACGGUAAUGGGUAAAGAAGCACCGGCUAACUACGU